AUUGAACGCUGGCGGCAUGCUUUACACAUGCAAGUCGAACGGCAGCGCGGGCUUCGGCCUGGCUGCGAGUGGCGAACGGGUGCGUAAUGCCUCGGAACCUUCCCCGUAGUGGGGGAUAGCCCGGCUCACACCGGAUUACUACCGCAUACCACCUGACGGUGAACGCGUGGGACCGAGAGCCCUCGCGCUAUUGGAGCGGCCGAUGUCGGAUUCGCUAGUUGGUGGGGUAAAGGCUUACCAAGGCGACGAUCCGUAGCUGGUCUGAGAGGACGACCAGCCACACUGGGACUGAGACACGGCCCAGACUCCUACGGGAGGCAGCAGUGGGGAAUUGUGGACAAUGGGGGCAACCCUGAUCCAGCCAUGCCGCGUGCGGGAAGAAGGCCUUCGGGUUGUAAACCGCUUUUGUUCGGGAAGAAAUCCUCUGGGCUAAUACCCCGGGGGGAUGACGGUACCGGAAGAAUAAGCACCGGCUAACUACGUG
rnacentral:rRNA from 1 species